GGGAAAAAGGGGGGGGGCCUACACAUGCAAGUCGGACGGUAGCACAGAAGAGCUUGCUCUUCGGGUGACGAGUGGCGGACGGGUGAGUAAUGUCUGGGAAACUGCCCGAUGGAGGGGGAUAACUACUGGAAACGGUAGCUAAUACCGCAUAACGUCGCAAGACCAAAGUGGGGGACCUUCGGGCCUCACACCAUCGGAUGUGCCCAGAUGGGAUUAGCUAGUAGGUGGGGUAACGGCUCACCUAGGCGACGAUCCCUAGCUGGUCUGAGAGGAUGACCAGCCACACUGGAACUGAGACACGGUCCAGACUCCUACGGGAGGCAGCAGUGGGGAAUAUUGCACAAUGGGCGCAAGCCUGAUGCAGCCAUGCCGCGUGUAUGAAGAAGGCCUUCGGGUUGUAAAGUACUUUCAGCGGGGAGGAAGGCGGCAAGGUUAAUAACCUUGCCGAUUGACGUUACCCGCAGAAGAAGCACCGGCUAACUCCGUGCCAGCAGCCGCGGUAAUACGGAGGGUGCAAGCGUUAAUCGGAAUUACUGGGCGUAAAGCGCACGCAGGCGGUCUGUUAAGUCAGAUGUGAAAUCCCCGGGCUUAACCUGGGAACUGCAUUUGAAACUGGCAGGCUUGAGUCUCGUAGAGGGGGGUAGAAUUCCAGGUGUAGCGGUGAAAUGCGUAGAGAUCUGGAGGAAUACCGGUGGCGAAGGCGGCCCCCUGGACGAAGACUGACGCUCAGGUGCGAAAGCGUGGGGAGCAAACAGGAUUAGAUACCUUGGUAGUCCAA
rnacentral:rRNA from 1 species